GAGCGGGGCCGGGCCGCGCCCCGCGCCCUGGAUAUCGCUUCGGCAGCCCGCAGAGGUCCUGCAUAACAGCAAGCCCGAUGCAGGUUGCGGGGCACCGCCAUCCCGCCGCCCGGGCACCUGGGGAGCGUGAAAGGGACUGGAGCGUCUCCAAGCUCUCCCCUGCUACGCUAGUCAAGUUUAAUCCAAUCCUCCCAACGCAGAGAGUGUGACAGCCCCCGCGACCCGGCACUGGCGUGCGAGCUUUGGCACGGGGCCCCGCUCCCGAGCGCCCGCCCUGAGAGAGCAGUACGUGCAGGUAGGAACAAGUCACACAGGGCGGGCAGGCCUUUGAGUGCGAUCAGGCAGACUUGCUCUCUCAGGGAGGUUCUCUUGGGUCCAGAAACCUUCUGCAAAUCAAGGUCACGCUUUAAAUCCCCUGUGUGACCUCUCUUGUCUGUCUCUUAUUAAGGAAUACAUGCUGCAGACCCCCACUGAGGGGCCCAGGGGGGUUCCCCUCACUGGUAUUUAUCUGCUGGUUUAUGAAGGCAGGAGGGAAGAGCUCCCAGGGAGAGGCAGUUUUCGGGGCCGUUGUUCACCCUCACCGGCACGUGCACCCGCCGCUCAGCCAGGGCGUUUGGCUGCAGCCCUGGUUAGGUUUGCCGGUGCCCUUUGCAAGAACGUGUCAAAGUGCUUGGCAGCACAGAGGAGCACCCAGCAAGCCACAGGUAUAAAAGAGCUUCUCCAGGACCUCUGCGGCCACUGAUGACCUUCCGGUCACCGAACAGGAAGCGUGUGAGCUCACCUGUGCUACCCGUCAGGAAUCCAAGAGGCUUCUCGCUGGGAUGAAGCAUUGAGGAGGUCGGCUGUGCUGCAGGGAGGAGAGAAAUCGCCGUGCUACUGGCGCAGCUGCCCCAGAGACAUUGGGGUCACUCGGGGCAGCCAAGCUGGGGGGGGCUGCGGGUUCACCGGGGAGCCGAACACAAGGCCCAGAGGAGCAAAGGAGCAGCUGAUACGGUGACAGUAUCAACGAGAAGCAAUACUGACCAGGAACCAUCUUCUAAGACAAUAAAAACAGUUAGGUCCUACCCCAACAGGACUGCUUGGCUUCAGAGAACUCCUUCUACCAUUAUUUUCUGAACUCGCGUUCGAGUGUGGGUGACCUCACCAGGUUUUUGUAUGCACCUCUAUAUAAAACCUUGUGGAAAACGAGCAAGCUUGUGGAUUUCCAGACAGCCUGCACCUCCAGCCAGUGGCGAGCUAAGAUGACGCGUACAGCAAAGCUCCGCUUACCUUCAAAGUUUUCCACUCAACAAGCCACACCCCAAACCAGCAAAAGCGCGUGGAACACUGCUACAUCCUCUACGACAUAAGCCACGGCAGAGAGCUUUUGGGAGCGUAAAUAAAGUACCGGCAUUUCUUUUUGGUUCCCGCUUGCCGAUGUGAAAUACAUUCAGAAAGAAAUGAAAGCAUUUGCACUCUCGGUUCGAACCCGGGGCUCUCGCACCUCCCCUAACGCUGUAGCCAAGGUGCGGUGGCUGUCCAAAGAACGAGCCCGGGUGUGGCAACGGACGAUGGCGUCAAAGCGCCGCCUCAGGGGACCGGCCUUCAGGCUCCCCUCCCAGGAGCCGACCUCCACUGCCAGCAGCGCAACCGGGUCGGGGCCAGGUUCGCGCCCCAACCGCCACAAAAGACCACGACAGCUCGACAUCGGUUCCUGGCUUUAUUGUCACAGACCCCUGUUACAGACUCGGGACCCACGGCGUUACUGAGGGUGAGCCUUCAGACGUUGUACCCGAUCAGGCCGCCCUUGCCUAUGAUCUCCCCGAUGUAAAACCACAUCAGCACCUCCGUGGCCACCAGACCGUUCCUCAGCGCUUCCUGAAAGAAAAAAACAAACAAAACAAAAAAGCCACUGGUUAGACUGUCAGCUCCUGCUACAGCUUCUCUCCUCGCUCCUGUAAUCGAGCUCCACAUACGACUAGCAAAGCAGUGAACCAAUUCGCAAGGCAAUGGUUUAAGAAAAGAAAAAUAAUUAAAAGUGCAACGGGGUGUUUCUCGUGUUGAGCCACCCCCCAACAAACUACGCUGUUAAGGUGGUUCCAAAACGCUGGGUACAGCCUCAGUAGUAGAAUAGUCAGCAGGACCUGAAAAGGCUGCAGAGCUCGCCUACUCCUCGGCUUAUCCAGGAAAAAGUGGGUAAAUUUUUGUAAAUGUAUAACAUUUUGAAAGCCUGGCACCAAAGGAAACGCAUCUUUGGAGCGCAGGCAACAGAAACCCAGUGCAGCGCGCAUCGAUUCUAGUGGGCAGAUUCGCAGGGAGCGCCGUGGGGAUUCGCUGCUACACGGAGGAGGAGGAGGAGGAAAGCAGCCUGACCCGGGUUCUCUUUGCGGGGAGCAGAAAAACCUCAGGAAACAAAAAAAAAAAAAAAUCAGAGCACUGGGG